rnacentral:rRNA from 1 species
AAUGAAAGUGGCGAACGGGUGAGUAACACGUGAGCAACCUACCUUACACAGGGGGAUAGCCGUUGGAAACGACGAUUAAUACCGCAUGAGACCACAGAAUCGCAUGAUAUAGGGGUCAAAGAUUUAUCGGUGUAAGAAGGGCUCGCGUCUGAUUAGCUAGUUGGAAGGGUAAAGGCCUACCAAGGCGACGAUCAGUAGCCGGUCUGAGAGGAUGAACGGCCACAUUGGAACUGAGACACGGUCCAAACUCC